CAAUCACAUUGGAAAAUGAUAGAAAGGGAGGGGUGGGGAAGAAGGGACAUUUCCCUAGAUCCUAAGUGUCCACAGGAGGCCUGGACCUGAACGCCCAAACCUAAAACAGCUCUCUGUUCUGUGGCUUCUGUGGUCUUUCAGCACAAGCUAACUUUUCUGGCUGUGUUUAUAACUGAACUCUGGUGUGAAAUACUGAAAAGAAAAUGACUACAGAGGACCUAUUUAGACCUUCCUGGCAAGAGCCAAGUUGGAGGAGUGGAGGGAAAGGGCUGUUUAUCUUGACAGAGGAUUCCCUUUCCAGAACAGGGAAAACAUUCCUUUUGUCAAAAAUGGUUAAUAGCCAUCCAACAACACAAAGAGUGGUUUCAGUAGCUCAGCAUCCACGCGGGGUGCCUGGGAGCACUGUGACCAUGCCCCCAUGGAGGGAACGGCAGCAGACUCAUGGCCAUGUCUUGGAGAGGGCCAGUGUUGUUGAUGGGCAUAGGAAAAAUAUCAUCACCUCCUACACUUUCCACCAGGGAAAAUGUGGUCACCUACUUAGUAGGUGAUAUAGACAUGCUGGACCAAAAGUGAGGCAAGAGGCAAUAUUAACACAUCCUCAAAAUGCUUUGAAAGACCCAGCAGCCUUUUCAAAUAGGAAGGACAGGGACGCCAUGCCCUUGCCCAUAUACCCUCCCCAUUCUAAAGGAAAUGACUGAAUUUUGUAGCCUUCUCACUGAACUCCCUGACUGAGCUCUGAGGGUAAUUAUCCUGGGGUUAGGGGGUCCCUGAACAGAGUAUCUACAUGUAAAACAUGUAGGACUAAUGGAAAACACCUCAGAGUUGGAUUUGGAUAUGUAGGCUCUAUUGUGAGUCUGCCACCAACCAGCUGGGUAUCCCAAAACAACUCUGAGUCCCUCUGAGCCACAAUUUUCUAAAAAGCUUUUAAACUCACACAAUACAGCCACAAAAUUAAUAAGCUCCUUAAAGUUCAUCUAUAUUAGAGACAAAAUUCUGGAUUAGUUAGCCAGUUUCAUGACUUCAAGUAUUGAAGUCAAAUGGUGACAUUACUGUCUUGUCUUGUUUUGCUUUCAAAGAUAUAACAUUUUUAUUUUGUUCUUCAGAUUUCAGAAUUAGCUCAAGGAACAAUUAUGUGUGGUUCAUUUUACUGGCCCUUUCCUCUACCCACACCAGUCUUCUGUGUCUUUUCUCUCUACAUACCCCUCAAUUUAAAUUAAACUAAAAUGAUUUUUUUGUUCUCAAACUCUUCAACUUUCUAAUUACUUACAAUACUGUUCUCUAAUAUCUUCAUUACAAAAGCUCCUUCCAAUUUAUUGUUUCAUGAUUAUGUAAAUUAUUUGAGUCUUUUAUAUGUGUUCUUCUGUAAAUCAGAAAAGGCAUGUGUGUGGGGAGUGCGUAUUUCUCUGACAACUUGUGCAAUUCUGACUCACUCUGAAUUUUGUAAUUCAAAUAACAAAAGUUGGAGGCAGUAAAUUCAAAUCAGAUAAGUACUUGUCAAUAAGAUGUUUCUGGAAGAGUGUACUUAGCCUGGUAGGUGGGAAAUAUGUCCAAAAUAUUUGUAGCUGCUCCCAAGAGGUGGGGUCUGUUUCCCGCCCCUUUAACAGCUGUAUGACUUGCUUUCAAAGAUAGUGGUACUUGGCCACAGCUCAACUUAGUCCUCUAGAGGGCUCGUAGGCUUCCACGUGAUGCUGUAAGAAUCCUGCCAUCACUGAACAAGACCCUAUCUGUCCACUGGAAGACAAGAGGCCUUUGGCUCUAUCACCUCAAAACCCCAGCCUGUUGCCAACCAAAUACCAGUCAAGUGAUGAAGUGCUCUGGCAUCAUUCAGGCUCAAGAUGACCCACCAAAUAACCACAGGCUCACAGCAAGCCCAGCCAGGAUCAGAGAAACCCAUCCAAGACCAAAAGAGUUGCCUAAUAGAACCAUGAACUAAAGGAAUGUCUGUGGUAUUAAGUCAAUUAAUUCGGGGAUUGUUUGUUACACAACAAAAGCUGACCGAUAUACUUUGUUUUUAACAAGAGCUAACCUAGCUAUCGUUUUGCAUUAUAUUUUAGGUAUUAGCAUAAUCUAAGUGAGACCCCUGCCCAUCCUGCUUUUACCCUCACCCUUACCAACAUAGUACUUGUCUCUUUAGAUACUCCUGUCCCUUGCCAUC
rnacentral:lncRNA from 1 species